AUGGCAUUCAUCGCCGUAUUGGCGGCGUGGAAGGCGCCUUCAAGCCUGCACUUGCGGCUCGGGUCGACGAGGCAGCCGCAACAGGCCAACAGCCGCAACGGACCAAAGAAAUUAGAUCCAUCCAGCUUAGUGCAAUGGAAUCGACCAGGGUCACAUGCAAGAUUACGGGAAGCAUAUAACCUGAGCUCUACGAGGUUGAACAAGUCUGGACUGAUACAAGGUAUUGCUAGGUGGACCUUGCCAGAGCAAUCAAGUAAAUUAGCAGAUUUCAGCAGGAAAAGGGUUACUCACAGGCCUCAUAAGCAAUAUGAGGAACCCGGGAAGAAGUACAAGUUAGCUACAAAAGAUGGAAAUGAUGCGCCAACAAAUACACCAAUCUUGUUUAGUACAAAAUGGGAUGCAGAUGAUUCCAAAAGACUGAUGGUCCACCAUAAUAUAUAG
rnacentral:rRNA from 1 species